rnacentral:misc_RNA from 1 species
AGAGGCUUUAGAUGCUAAUGGUACUUGGGAUUUGGUGCCUUUUCCCACCAAGAAGAAAGCUAUUGGUUUUGGUUGUAAGUGGGUCUUUGCAGUGAAAGUGAAUUCGGAUGGUUCUGUGGCUCAGUUAAAAGCCCGCCUUAUUGUCUAAGGGUAUCCUAAAACUUAUGGAGUUGAUUUUUCUGAUGCAUUCUUAGGAUUAAGCUUGCUUCUGUUCGUUUGUUCAUCUCUUUGACAGCCACACGACUGUACCCUUCAUCAUUUGGAUAUCAAGAAUGCUUUUCUG